rnacentral:lncRNA from 1 species
AUUCAGGCAUCAAGAUACUUAUAUUGUCCCCAGGUGACAUUAAUGUGUAGCUAGGAUUGAGAAUUACUGAUGUAAAAUUUACUGCUUUUCCAUAGGGAAAACUCCACCCCAGACUAAUGAAAUCAGAAUCUCUAGGGAUGAGGCCCAGGCAGCAGUAUUUUUUAAGCUCCCCCUGGUGACUACAAUGUAGAGCCUGGACUGAGAAUCUCUGUAUCACAACAGUGGUUCCAGGCCAGUUGCACAUCCAAGAAACACCCAAGGAGAUUUGUAAAAGUACAAAUUCAGGUAGCACCCUGGACUUAAAUCAGGUUCUUUUAGUUUGCAAAACUCCCACUUCCAUCUGCUACUGGCCUUAGAGGAUAGCAUUAAUGGGAGCAGUCUACUAGGUUUGCUUUCUUGAAAUCUUCACACCCCAUUAAAGGUAGAGCAUUCUGUCACAUGGAGCUCCUGCUGCUGUGAAGAGAGAAAAAAAGAUCCCCAGCAAGAUUCUGAGGAGACUUCGGAGUGUGGAAAAGCAGAUGGUGUCCUGCACAUGGGCUGAUGUGCUCCCAGGGACAAAGUCCAGUCCCCUGAAGAGGAAUCUUUGUUUCAGCUGCAUAGUCCAUUGCAACCCCACUGCAGCCACACCAAGAACAGCAAAAGAUCAGCGCAUGUGCCUGGAAAUAUAACCAUCUUUCUUUAUAUGGGUUUGUGUCACAGCUAUCAUUUCUAAUGACUAUGCAUUAAUUCAUCUCAUUAAACAAUGAGCACCUACAAUGUGAUGUGUGUAGCACCAAGCCAUGAGAAUGCAGUGCUGAAUGAGAGUCCCACUACAUGAGAUAUCCAAGCAAGAGUAUUUAAUAAAAACAUUCCCUGACUCCAGCCCUUUUUCCCAUUGUAGUAUGGCAUAAGGCCUUGAACGUUGCAGUUAAGGAAAGCAGACAUCCUUGAACAUUAUCUCCUCGUGUAUUUUGUCAUUAGCAACAGAAGACCAAUUAUUAAACCCUGAAGGUUGUUAAGAUCUUGUCCAAGUUUUCUACACAAUAUCUAAAUUUCUACACUAUGUAGUAAGCAAAGUCCAUAGUGAGAAGUAUUUCAGCAUCCUGAAAAUUUGUAUUACAUGAGUAAUGAUUUAAUAACUUUCUUCUUCAAGUGCCAUCAGCAAGAAAUUGUACAGUUUUAUGGGAACCCUGGAUUUAUUGGUACUGAAUAUUGCCACAGCAAGCCACUUUGCCUCAUAAUUUGUAGGAAAGAAACAAGAUUAAAAAUAAAUUUGAAGGGAAAAAUGAGUUGAGAAAAAUUGGCAACAGGGCUUGUGCAGUAUUAAUUGUAAUUGAGAAGGGAAUGUCUUUGCUGAAUCCAAGGCAUAUUUAUGCAUCGUAAGCACUGAUGAAACUAGUGCCCCUCAAACUACCAGAUGUAUGAGCAUUGCUUUUAGUCACAUGGAUCUGAUGAGUAGCAAAUGUUAAAAUGUUAGUUUCAGUAAUUGUAAGUGUAAAAAUAUAAGACAGAAAAAAUAAUGCAACACCUACAAACACCAUAAACUGUGAAAGGUAUUGGGUGGCUCUCUUCCCAGGUAGGACUUGGUGAAAUGGUUGGAGGAGUGUGACACGAUAGAGGAAAAUUAAUGUAAAUGAGAUAGAUAUAUAAAUAAAAUGAAAUAUUGAAACAUUUUAUCAUAUUAGUUCCAAGGACAGGAACUUUCCAGCAUAUUGAAACACAAAUUCUACUACCUAAACAUAGUAAACGGAGAUGAACUAAGACAACCGGCUAGGGCUGUGUCUAUUCCUAGGAGAUCAGUUCACAACAAUUUAAUCAAAGAUGAUGGAGUUUGAAAAGGAUAAAAAGUCUGAAUGAUAUACCCAUAGUUGUUUGUAACAAUAUUAUUUGCUCAAAAAAGCUGUGGAAUUUUGGUUUGCUGGAAAAAAAUAGUUCACUUCUUUUUUCUGUACAGAGAAAAAUGUUUUAAUAAAUAUUAAUACUGUGUCUAGAUCAUGCUUAUAUUAC